AUUGAACGCUGGCGGCAUGCCUAACACAUGCAAGUCGAACGGCAGCACAGUAAAGACUUCGGUCUUUAUGGGUGGCGAGUGGCGGACGGGUGAGUAACGCGUAGGAAUCUGUCCUGGAGGGUGGGAUAGCCCGAGGAAACUCGGGCUAAUACCGCAUGGUAUCGAGAGAUCAAAAGCAGGGGACACUUCGGGGCCUUGCGCUCUAGGAUGAGCCUACGUCGGGUUAGCGAGUUGGUGGAGUAAAGGCCUACCAAGGCGACGAUCCGUAGCUGGUCUGAUGGUAUGACCAGCCACACUGGGACUGAGACACGGCCCAGACUCCUACGGGAGGCAGCAGUGGGGAAUCUUGGACAAUGGGGGAAACCCUGAUCCAGCGAUGCCGCGUGUGUGAAGAAGGCCUUCGGGUUGUAAAGCACUUUAGUUGGGGAAGAAAAGUAAUAAGUAAAUAAUUGAUUGCUCUGACGGUACCCAAAGAAUAAGCACCGGCUAACUCUGUGCCAGCCGCCGCAGUAA
rnacentral:rRNA from 1 species